rnacentral:tRNA from 1 species
ACUACUGUGGUGAAACGGUAAACACAUUAGAUUUAAAAUUUAAUAGCAUACGCUUUAUGAGUUCGAAUCUCAUCUGUAGUA